rnacentral:rRNA from 1 species
CCUACGGGAGGCAGCAGUGGGGAAUUUUGGACAAUGGGCGCAAGCCUGAUCCAGCCAUGCCGCGUGUGUGAAGAAGGCCUUCGGGUUGUAAAGCACUUCGCGAGAACGGCCGGUACCGGAAGAAGAAGCACCGGCUAACUACGUGCCAGCAGCCGCGGUAAUACGUAGGGUGCGAGCGUUAAUCGGAAUUACUGGGCGUAAAGCGUGCGCAGGUGGUCUCGCAAGUCGAGUGUGAAAGCCCCGGGCUUAACCUGGGAAUUGCGCUCGAAACUACGAGACUUGAGUGUGGCAGAGGGAGGUGGAAUUCCACGUGUAGCGGUGAAAUGCGUAGAGAUGUGGAGGAACACCGAUGGCGAAGGCAGCCUCCUGGGCAAACUGACACUCAGGCACGAAAGCGUGGGGAGCAAACAGGAUUAGAUACCCUGGUAGUC